rnacentral:rRNA from 1 species
AUUGAACGCUGGCGGCAGGCCUAACACAUGCAAGUCGAACGGUAGCACAGAGGAGCUUGCUCCUUGGGUGACGAGUGGCGGACGGGUGAGUAAUGUCUGGGAAACUGCCCGAUGGAGGGGGAUAACUACUGGAAACGGUAGCUAAUACCGCAUAACGUCGCAAGACCAAAGAGGGGGACCUUCGGGCCUCUUGCCAUCGGAUGUGCCCAGAUGGGAUUAGCUAGUAGGUGGGGUAACGGCUCACCUAGGCGACGAUCCCUAGCUGGUCUGAGAGGAUGACCAGCCACACUGGAACUGAGACACGGUCCAGACUCCUACGGGAGGCAGCAGUGGGGAAUAUUGCACAAUGGGCGCAAGCCUGAUGCGGCCAUGCCGCGUGUAUGAAGAAGGCCUUCGGGUUGUAAAGUACUUUCAGCGAGGAGGAAGGCGUUGUGGUUAAUAACCGCAACGAUUGACGUUACUCGCAGAAGAAGCACCGGCUAACUCCGUGCCAGCCGCCGCGGUAAAAGGG